GAUGAACGCUGGCGGCGUGCCUAAUACAUGCGAGUCGAACGCUGGAAAUCUAGCUUGCUAGAUUGAAGGAGUGGCGAACGGGUGAGUAAUACAUAAGCAACCUACCCACGAAGACUGGGAUAAUCUCUGGAAACGGGGACUAAUACCGGAUAGGUAAUCGGAAGGCAUCUUCUGAUUAUUAAAGGUUAAAAACACUGGUGGAUGGGCUUAUGGCGCAUUAGUUAGUUGGUGAGGUAACGGCCCACCAAGACGAUGAUGCGUAGCCGGCCUGAGAGGGUGAACGGCCACAUUGGGACUGAGACACGGCCCAGACUCCUACGGGAGGCAGCAGUAGGGAAUGUUCGGCAAUGGGGGAAACCCUGACCGAGCAACGCCGCGUGAGUGAUGACGGCCUUCGGGUUGUAAAGCUCUGUUGUAAGGGAAGAACGGUAGAUAGAGAAUAUCUAAAUGACGGUACCUUACCAGAAAGCCACGGCUAACUACGUG
rnacentral:rRNA from 1 species